rnacentral:ribozyme from 14 species
UUACUUUCCUUUCCCUCUCCUUUCCUUUCCUUUUUUUUUUUUUUUUUUUUUUUAAUUGCC